AUAAAGCUGAUCAAAGAGCGAUUACGUCUUCUUAAUUACAAAUCACUGAGCUCUCUCUCUGAUCUCUCUGCUUCUGAAAUGGCUCCCAAGAAAGUUCCAAUGAUUUUGAAUGUGGUGUUCUUCAUUAUUAUGCUUUUAAUUUCAUCUAAUAAUAAUUAUAAUGUUUCUGCAAGAAAAUUUCUUGAUGUUAAUAUCCCUCUUGUUGAUGAUGCCUUCAACCUUGAUCGAAUUGGUGCUUCUUCAUUAUUUUAUAAAUUGGAUGGAGAGCUACAAAAGAGAUUCGAGGAUUUAUUAAAAACAACCACAGAUAACGAUAUUCCUCGUGGUGGAAACUAUUAAAUAUAAACACAAAAGUAUAUAGAAACUAUUAUACCUAUAUGCAUGUAUAAACUAUAAACAUAUAUGUUCCACUUUAAUUUUGUAUAUGUGAAAUAUUGAGGCAGAAUAAUGAAUAUAAGUUUGUAAAUGUUAAAAUAUGUUUUUAGAUGUGUAACUUAUAAUAGGUUUGGAUUGACUAGUGUCCU